GCCAGAGAUGGUCGCCCCCUUGUGGUCGGUGUACAGGUGGUGCAUGGCUGUCGUCAGCUCGUGUCGUGAGAUGUUGGGUUAAGUCCCGCAACGAGCGCAACCCUUAUCCUGUGUUGCCAGCGGAUCCCUUCGGGGGUGCCGGGGACUCACGGGAGACUGCCGGGGUCAACUCGGAGGAAGGUGGGGACGACGUCAAGUCAUCAUGCCCCUUAUGUCUUGGGCUGCACACGUGCUACAAUGGCCGGUACAAUGAGCUGCGAUACCGUGAGGUGGAGCGAAUCUCAAAAAGCCGGUCUCAGUUCGGAUUGGGGUCUGCAACUCGACCCCAUGAAGUCGGAGUCGCUAGUAAUCGCAGAUCAGCAUUGCUGCGGUGAAUACGUUCCCGGGCCUUGUACACACCGCCCGUCACGUCAUGAAAGUCGGUAACACCCGAAGCCGGUGCGCC
rnacentral:rRNA from 1 species